rnacentral:lncRNA from 1 species
UUUAUUCUCAUUGUGCAAUUCAUUGUCUGAUGUCAUUUCUUCAUAUGGUCAAAGGCAAUCCUAAGUCUAGUUUGAGAGUCUACAUUCACAUUGGUGAGUCCCUGGAAAAUGUAUGAGGAGGACAGAUAGAGUUUCUUGAGGCUUAGAGCUCUUGCAGAAGCUGCAUGAAAGAUGAUUCUAGCUGGCUACAGGGAUUUUCACUCAUGAGGUACUUCUCUUUGUGAUGAAGUUAUACUGAUUCAAGAAAAUUUAUUUGAUUUUCACCGCCACUUCUGAUUUAUUCAUGAUUUCAUCAAAUUUUCAUAAUCAAUAGAAUCAAAGAGGUCUUCAUGAUUGCCAUUUAUUUUAAACUUGUAUGAAAUUGUGAAUCCCAUUGUUUACAAGGUAAAUUACAAGGUAAUGAACAGACAGAUGGAUAAGCCAAUACAUGGGAAAACUCCUGGUUGGAUUUUUAAGUCAUCAUAUGUCCUUACUCUUAUAAUCAUGCAUAUACUUCUGAAUCAGCUGCUUUCAUUUUUUGGAGUGUAAUUAUUAUUGCUCUUAACCUAGUGAUGAUCAAAAUGCCUUAUCGCCUUGUUUGUCUCCAUUUAGAUGACAAAUGCUGCAAAUGAGGCUUGUCAGCCCUUUCAAAGAAAUAUAGCCCGAUCGAAUUGAGAAGCAUUUGUCUGAAGGGUUCUAAGUUGGCACAUCUGAAAUGCUUGAGUGGUAACUUUCCUACCAAUCCAUCAGAAGACUCCCUAUAGGGUGUGAAUCUUCUUAUCUGAACGGAAGAUGAUGUCAUGAGGGCAGCUGCGCCAACACUGAGUGGUGUAAGAGUUCAAAGUUUUUUGUACUUUGUGAUUGAUCAUUUUUUAAUUGGAUACGAAGUUGUCACAAUUUGCUCAAAUUCUAAGGAACUCUGGUCUACAGCUGUCUCAUUCCUUGUUUAACUGAUCUUUAGAUAUAGGCUCUGAGGAGAUUUCACAUGGCCUCUUGUACAUAUCAUAUAUUUAUCAGUUUAUCAUCUGCUUCAGUUUAAAUUAUGCUUCAGAUCACUCAACUCUGUGCUACAUACUCUGCCUGAGUAUAUUUCGUAGAUUUGAAAAAUCUAUUUGGAGUUGGGACUUUCUUGGAUUAUACACUGGGACUGCUUGCUAGAAUGAUUUUGACACUUACUCUGCAGUUUCCCCUCCACAAUAACUUGUCUGCAAUAUGAUCUAAAUGAUGAGUUGGAUUUGCAAUAUUUCAGUGUCAAUUGUAUUCUGUAUGUUUCUCAGUCAGGAGGGAAUUGUUGCACAUAAGUGGGGAUUGCUUUCACAAUAACUAGUCAUGGUCAUAGAGAUUUGUAGAUACUCCUUUUGCUCUUUUUUUUUUUUGGAUCCCAAUUCUUUUUGAAAUUCUAAAUUCUCUCACCUCAAGUGAAAUAAGGAAUAUAUCUAGGAAAAAAGAUCAUUGGAAGUACCUUUUAUUUUAGGAUUACUCUUUUAAAGAUCAUUCAAGGGUCAUUAGUAUCACUUGAAAUUAAUAUUGUAAUCUAAUCUUUAUUGUGCCUCUGUUAUCCCUUUGACUUGCUGAAAUGGGCAUGGUCACAAUGAGAUCUUAUCUGGCUAGGAACACUUAAAAUGUAGUAUUACUAACAUUUUAGUACUCGUGCAAAGGCCCAAAUCCUGUAUUAUAUUAUUCAGCAUGUGUGUUAAGUUGCAGUUCUACAAUCAUAUGCAUAAUUAUUUUAAAAGAAAAUUUACUGAAGUUCAUGCUUACGUUUGUUGACUGAACAAUUACAUGAAAAUAUUUUUUUAAAAAAAAUAGAUGGGGAUUGAUUUUUUUUUUUUUUGGCUUCUAGGAAGGAUGCUCAUAAUGCUCAAGAUCAUUGGUUUUAAUAUAAUUCUUUCCUUGGGUGGUCAAAUAAAAUGAUAAGUUUACUUCUUCCAAACUUUCAAUGUUCAAGAAUUGAGAUU